GCAACCUGGUUGAUCCUGCCAGUAGCAUACGCUUGUCUCAAAGAUUAAGCCAUGCAUGUCUAAGUAUAAACGAUUCUAUACUGUGAAACUGCGAAUGGCUCAUUAUAUCAGUUAUAGUUUAUUUGAUGGUUCUUACUACAUGGAUAACCGUAGUAAUUCUAGAGCUAAUACAUGCAUCGAGCCCCGACUUCUGG
rnacentral:rRNA from 1 species